UACGUAGGGUGCGAGCGUUAAUCGGAAUUACUGGGCGUAAAGAGCGCGUAGGCGGUUCUUUGUGUCCGCUGUGAAAUCCCCGGGCUUAACCUGGGAAUGGCAGUGGAAACUAGAGGGCUUGAAUCCGGCAGAGGGGGGUGGAAUGCCACGUGUAGAGGUGAAAUGCGUAGAUAUGUGGCGGAACGCCAAUGGCGAAGGCAGCCACCUGGGC
rnacentral:rRNA from 1 species